GCAGCGGUGGUUCAGUGGUAGAAUUCUCGCCUUCCGCGUGGAAGACCAGGGUUCGAUUCCUGGCUGGUGCA
rnacentral:tRNA from 1 species